rnacentral:rRNA from 1 species
CAGUCGCCGCGGUAAUACAGAGGGUGCGAGCGUUAAUCGGAUUUACUGGGCGUAAAGCGUGCGUAGGCGGCUUCUUAAGUCGGAUGUGAAAUCCCUGAGCUUAACUUAGGAAUUGCAUUCGAUACUGGGAAGCUAGAGUAUGGGAGAGGAUGGUAGAAUUCAAGGUGUAGCGGUGAAAUGCGUAGAGAUCUGGAGGAAUACCGAUGGCGAAGGCAGCCAUCUGGCCUAAUACUGACGCUGAGGUACGAAAGCAUGGGGAGCAAACAGGAUUAGAUACCCGUGUAGUCCCUGUCUCUUAUAC